CCUACGGGAGGCAGCAGUGAGGAAUAUUGGUCAAUGGGCGCUAGCCUGAACCAGCCAAGUAGCGUGCGGGAUGAAUGCCCUACGGGUCGUAAACCGCUUUUACACGGGGAUAACAUCCUCCACGUGUACAGCUCUGCAGGUACCGUACGAAUAAGGUCCGGCUAAUUCCGUGCCAGCAGCCGCGGUAAUACGGAGGCCCCGAGCGUUAUCCGGAUUCAUUGGGCUUAAAGGGAGCGUAGGCGGGCGUGCAAGUCAGCUGUAAAAUGGUGGGGGGAACCCGACCACCGCAGUUGAAACUGGAAGCCUUGAGUUCAGUAGAGGCAGGCGGAAUUCGUGGUGUAGCGGUGAAAUGCAUAGAUAUCACGAGGAACCCCGAUUGCGAAGGCAGCCUGCCGGAGUGCAACUGACGCUGAGGCUCGAAGGUGUGGGUAUCAAACAGGAUUAGAUACCCCAGUAGUC
rnacentral:rRNA from 1 species